GUCACUUUGCCGGAGUGGUUAACGGGAUCGCCUGCUAUAUACGCCAAGUAAUACAUCAGCGGUUGGUCUUUGACCGCGAGUGUUCGAAUCGCUCAGGUGACG
rnacentral:tRNA from 1 species